rnacentral:lncRNA from 1 species
UUGUGCUGCAUUGCUAUACAUGAAGUAUGUUCUUUUUUAUUCAAUAGCUAAAUCUUUAAUCUGUGGAACUCAUCUCUGAAAAUCACAACAAUCUAUACAAAAUCAUUUAAUAUAAAAUAUACAAACUUCUCCAUACGAAGACCCACAGAACAGGAAGGCAAUGACAACAAACAAACCUGUACAAAAAGAAGAACAUAAAAGGACUGGAGACUGUAAUGACAGACAGUCUCAGGACCUUCUCAAAUCUACCCUUGAAAGACCCUCUCCUAACAACACUGAGUUUCUGGGUCCAUUGGAGUUGACUGGCCAGCCUUCCAUCAUCACCCUUCCUUUGCUAAGAUGACCACAGGUCACUCGCUGUCAAACUUGACGGAAUUGAUCUGAACAGAGAUGGAGCCUCCCCUGUUGCUGCCUCGCUGCUUCUUCUUCUUCUUCUUCUUCUUCUUCUUCUUCUUCUUCUUCUUCUUCUUCUUCUUCUUCUUCUUCUUCUUCUUCUUCUUCUUCUUCUCUUCUUAUUCAUUUUUUCAUGGCGGAAGGACUUGCCUUUGGUGGACUUCAGAACCCCAGUCUCCAGCUGCACCUCACUUGGCAUCAAAGGAAUUUUCUGCUACUCAUGAAUCCACCUCAAUCUCCUCCUCCCUGACCCUUCGGAAUGGGGAAGAUGCCCUUUUGUUCUGCUUUCUUCCUUUUGGGAAAUGUGUUGGGAGUCUGUAGCUUAACUUUCUUAGCUUGAGGCAUCCCUGCUUCCUCUGCAGUCUCAUUCCACUCUGGUUUCUUUCCUGGCUUGGAAACUGCCAUUUUCGUCUAUGAACUGUGUUCUAUAAAUUAAAAAUAAAAUAGUGUGAUGAGCAACUGAGGAAAACAGUGGCCAUUGACUUCUGGGGUUUCCAUUGACACGUACACUCGCGCGCGC